rnacentral:rRNA from 1 species
CUACACAUGCAGUCGAGCGGAUGACGGGAGCUUGCUCCUUGAUUCAGCGGCGGACGGGUGAGUAAUGCCUAGGAAUCUGCCUGGUAGUGGGGGACAACGUUUCGAAAGGAACGCUAAUACCGCAUACGUCCUACGGGAGAAAGCAGGGGACCUUCGGGCCUUGCGCUAUCAGAUGAGCCUAGGUCGGAUUAGCUAGUUGGUGGGGUAAUGGCUCACCAAGGCGACGAUCCGUAACUGGUCUGAGAGGAUGAUCAGUCACACUGGAACUGAGACACGGUCCAGACUCCUACGGGAGGCAGCAGUGGGGAAUAUUGGACAAUGGGCGAAAGCCUGAUCCAGCCAUGCCGCGUGUGUGAAGAAGGUCUUCGGAUUGUAAAGCACUUUAAGUUGGGAGGAAGGGCAGUAAGCUAAUACCUUGCUGUUUUGACGUUACCGACAGAAUAAGCACCGGCUAACUCUGUGCCAGCAGCCGCGGUAAUACAGAGGGUGCAAGCGUUAAUCGGAAUUACUGGGCGUAAAGCGCGCGUAGGUGGUUUGUUAAGUUGGAUGUGAAAGCCCCGGGCUCAACC